rnacentral:rRNA from 1 species
GAUGAACGCUGGCGGCGUGCCUAAUACAUGCAAGUCGCGCGAACGGACGAGAAGCUUGCUUCUCUGAUGUUAGCGGCGGACGGGUGAGUAACACGUGGAUAACCUACCUAUAAGACUGGGAUAACUUCGGGAAACCGGAGCUAAUACCGGAUGAUAUUUUGAACCGCAUGGUUCAAAAGUGAAAGACGGUCUUGCUGUCACUUAUAGAUGGAUCCGCGCUGCAUUAGCUAGUUGGUAAGGUAACGGCUUACCAAGGCAACGAUGCAUAGCCGACCUGAGAGGGUGAUCGGCCACACUGGAACUGAGACACGGUCCAGACUCCUACGGGAGGCAGCAGUAGGGAAUCUUCCGCAAUGGGCGAAAGCCUGACGGAGCAACGCCGCGUGAGUGAUGAAGGUCUUCGGAUCGUAAAACUCUGUUAUUAGGGAAGAACAUAUGUGUAAGUAACUGUGCACAUCUUGACGGUACCUAAUCAGAAAGCCACGGCUAACUACGUG